rnacentral:rRNA from 1 species
UACGGAGGGUGCAAGCGUUGUUCGGAAUUACUGGGCGUAAAGGGCUCGUAGGCGGCCAACUAAGUCGGAUGUGAAAUCCCCAGGCUCAACUUGGGAACUGCAUCCGAUACUGGAUGGCUUGAAUUCGGGAGAGGGAUGCAGAAUUCCAGGUGUAGCGGUGAAAUGCGUAGAUAUCCGAAGGAACAUCAGUGGCGAAAGCGACUUCCUGGACCAGAACUGACGAUCAGGCACGAAAGCGUGGGGAGCAAACAGG